AGAUUGAACGCUGGCGGCAUGCCUUACACAUGCAAGUCGAACGGUAGAGUAGCAAUACUUGAGAGUGGCGAACGGGUGAGUAAUAUAUCGGAACGUGCCCGGUCGUGGGGGAUAACGUAGAGAAAUUUACGCUAAUACCGCAUACGAUCUAAGGAUGAAGGCGGGGGACUCGCAAGAGCCUCGCGCGAUUGGAGCGGCUGAUAUCAGAUUAGGUUGUUGGUGAGGUAAAAGCUCACCAAGCCGACGAUCUGUAGCUGGUUUGAGAGAACGACCAGCCACACUGGGACUGAGACACGGCCCAGACUCCUACGGGAGCAGCAGUGGGAUUUGGACAAUGGGGGAACCUGAUCCAGCCAUCCCGCGUGUGCGA
rnacentral:rRNA from 1 species